GCGGCGCCCAGGGCGGACUGCGGGUGGGCGCCGGUGCCGCGCGGAUCAAACUUUACAACUCGGAGAGUGAGUUAUAAAGCAGAGGCCGCACUGAGGAUGCGGUUGUCCGUUCCUCCCAUGGGGAUGCUGCUGGCUGCGCCCGCCUCAGGCUUGCAUGGGCUGUCUCUGCCUGGCCUCGCACUCCUCCUGGCAUGGGAGCAAAAAGGGACAGGCGGAGCGCUUACUGGUUGUGGAUGGGAGCUGCUGUGGCUGAAGCUGGAGAGGCUAGAGAAAGGUAAAGCUGCUGAAGAAUAAAAUAAAGGGGGUCCAGCCAGCAGCUGCAGACAGGAGACAGCCUGCCUCUCCAGGUGGAUGACAGUCAAGUGACCAGAGCUACAGAGCAGGAAGGGAGAGGGAGAGACAGACAGAUGUGUCCGAACUGUCAAAUUCUCCCAGCAGCUCCAAGAGCGGGAGGUACAGUGAGUCCUGGACCCCUGGGGCUGUGUCACCCCUCUUCUGCAUCCCAGUCCCUCCCUGCCCCCACCUUUUCUUUCUCUCACUGCUUUAAUUUUUUUGUUUUUUUCUUCCUGUACCUCUCCCUCUCUUGUUCUCUAAGUCCCCCUCUUUCUCUGUUGUUCUGCCUCUCUGUUUUAUUUUUCUCUCUGCACUUCUGUCCUGUCCCAUCGCUCUUUUUAUUCAUCCUCUGUCUCUGCCCUGCAGCCCAUCACUAAUUUGUCUUUCUCCAUCUAUCUGUCUGUCUUCCUAUCCCAAUCUUGUUAAUUCCUCCCUGUCUGUCCUUUAGCCCUUCACAAUUCCCACCGCUCUCACCUGUCUGGCGCUGUGUCUCUAUUUUUAAAUUCCUCUCUCCCUGCCCUGUAUUCUAGAUAUACUUUUACUUUCUUAGAUUCUUUUAUUCCAAGUCCCUGUCCCUGUGUUUUAACUUCUUCCCUCACUGUCCCAUAGCCCAUUGUUGUCUUUAUUAGUCUCUCUGUCUGGUUCCCUGUCCCUAUUCUUUAUUUUCCCUCUCUCUCCCCUUUAGAUCAUCAGUGUUUUUGAUAUUUCUCAGUCUCUCUCAUCUACCUCACUGUCCCCUUUUUUAAUUCUUCCU